GCCUUCGUGGUGUAGUGGUCAGGACACUCAACGCGUAUUCGAGAGUUCCGUGGUUCAAAUCCCGGCGAUGGCA
rnacentral:tRNA from 1 species